rnacentral:rRNA from 1 species
GAUUAAUGCUGGCGGCGUGCAUAACACAUGCAAGUCGAACGAUGAAACUUUUUUGAUUUCUUCGGAAUGAUUAAAAGUGGAUUAGUGGCGGACGGGUGAGUAACGCGUGAGUAACCUGCCUUAGAGAAGGGGAUAGCCUUUGGAAACGAAGAAUAAUACCCUAUGAAACCAUAACCUCGCAUGAGGAAUUGGUCAAAGAUUUAUCGCUCUAAGAUGGACUUGCGUCUGAUUAGUUAGUUGGUGGGGUAACGGCCCACCAAGACAGCGAUCAGUAGCCGGCUUGAGAGAGUGUACGGCCACAUUGGGACUGAGACACGGCCCAGACUCCUACGGGAGGCAGCAGUGGGGAAUUUUGCACAAUGGGGGAAACCCUGAUGCAGCGACGCCGCGUGAUUUAGAAGGCCUUCGGGUUGUAAAAAUCUUUUCUAUGGGAAGAAAAUGACAGUACCAUAGGAAUAAGGACCGGCUAAUUACGUG